UACGGAGGGGGCUAGCGUUGUUCGGAAUUACUGGGCAUAAAGCGCACGUAGGCGGCUUUGCAAGUUAGAGGUGAAAGCCCGGGGCUCAACUCCGGAAUUGCCUUUAAAACUGCAUCGCUAGAAUUGUGGAGAGGUAAGUGGAAUUCCGAGUGUAGAGGUGAAAUUCGUAGAUAUUCGGAAGAACACCAGUGGCGAAGGCGACUUACUGGACACAUAUUGACGCUGAGGUGCGAAAGCGUGGGGAGCAAACAGG
rnacentral:rRNA from 1 species